rnacentral:rRNA from 1 species
GACGAACGCUGGCGGCGUGCCUAAUACACGCAAGUCGAACGAGUGGCGGACGGGUGAGUAAUGCUUGGGAAUCUAGCUUAUGGAGGGGGAUAACUACGGGAAACUGUAGCUAAUACCGCGUACCAUAGGAUGAGCCCAAGGGGGAUUAGGUAGUUGGUGAGGUAAAGGCUCACCAAGCCGACGAUCUCUAACUGGUCUGAGAGGAUGACCAGCCACACUGGGAAUGAGACACGGCCAAGACUCCUACGGGAGGCAGCAGUGGGGAAUAUUGCGCAAUGGGGGCAACCUGACGCAGCCAUGCCACGUGAAUGAAGAAGGCCUUCGGGUUGUAAAGUUCUUUCGAUAGCGAGGCGUUAACUACAGAAGAAGCACCGGCUAACUCCGUGCCAGCAGCCGCGGUAAUAC